GCCCCCGUAGCCCAACCGGCAGAGGCAGUCGACUUAAAAUCGAUCGAGUGCGGGUUCGAGUCCCGUCGGGGGCA
rnacentral:tRNA from 1 species